GUUGACUGUACAAAGAAAUGAUAAACAUCUUUUAGAACUACUUAAAACGUAACUAUAACUGAGGGUGAAAGUUGGUCUAAGUCACAUUCAGUCAGAGUGGGAAGCAAUUCCCCUGGCUCAGGUCAGGAUGAAGCCGGCAGGCGUGGAAGAGCAAUGCCGGAAGGAGGUGCUUAGUACUGCUUGGGGUCAUUUCUAUGGGGCGGUCUUCAGAGGAACAAAGCAGUACAGACAAAUGUAAAGAUGCAAGGGUCAACUUUUAAACUUUACUGUAGUAAAACUUCAGGUUCAGGCACCAUGCCCCAACACAGGCAGACUGUGUAGAGUGGAUGAAGCACCUGCUGGCAGGGGGUCAAAGGAGGCUGGUUCAAGUUGAGACAGAACUGCCCUUCCCCUGGGGUGAACGUGCAUUCCAUCUCCUGCCUCCGAAGACCUGCGCCGCCUUUGCAAACGCUCCGAACCUGCCCUCAGCUCGGUGGACACUGCAUCUUUUAUCUGAAUGCAGUGUUACCAAUCAAAUGACAUUUCUUUUAAAAUACAUCUAAGCAACACAUUCACCAUUAAUCCAGCAGCAUCAACAGGUCGGGAAAUAGGUGGUUUUGUUAGGAGGUAAAUUUUCACACCACAGGAUGGUGUUCUGAUCUAAAAAUUUUCACAAUUUAAUUCAGCUUUGCAAAAAAUAUGGACAUUUAAUAGCACUGAGUCUCAUUUUUACAAGGUACAUUAUGCUAAACAAGUACACUGAUUCUAAAUUAUUGACAUUUCAUGAAUGUAUUAAAUGGCUUUGUUAAAAAAUCAUAAUCUCAUUUCUUAUAAUUACUAUGAUGGGGUUAUUUCACAUUUUUAACCUUUUUAGAACUGUGUGACCCAAGUUUCUGUAACAAGAUGAAACUCCCUCCUCUUUGACCUUCAGUGUGGUAUCUCUGAGUUAACUGGAGGCUCUAUCACUUUAAGGAACAUUUUUAAAAACCACUGUGACUAUAGCCCAGCAGAGUGUAUGUGUUACCUGAACUUUGACAUGGAAUCACCUUAGAAAUAAAUGCAGCUAUAAAUCUUUUCAGCAUAUUUAUUUCUACCUAGGAGUUCUGUGAAAUAGCAUCAUUUCUCUUGUCAGGCUUUGAUUACCUCAGCAUCCUUCAACGACAGUUUAUUUGUGCCAUCUUAGUUCUGUAACCAGUUCAACUGAAAGAAUGGGAUGGAAGGGCACUUGGCUGGGACCUGCAGUCAACAUUCCUUCUUAGCGUGAGAGCAGCACACACCUCAUGCCCCAAGUCGUGAAAACUGUAACAGGGCUUAUAUUUAGGCCUGUCAUACUACCAUCUGGGCAGGACUCGUGAACUCUAAGAGUAUAUUCUUAAGUUGUGUCAAUCAAAGUCAUGUUUGUUGACCACCAUUCCUCUGGGCCAGCCCCGAACUAACCAGGAAUGGGGGACAGAAGUGGACAAUACCCUCAGGGAGCCCAGAUCUGUCUGAAGACUCAAAAGUAUGCAAUUGUAAUCACAGUGACAGGCCCUUUUAGGGAGGGUCUGUACAAGAGCCAGCAAGCUACAUGUGGACAGCAUUACCCACAAGGUUCUGUUUGAGCUCGUCUUAAAAGAUGAAGGCCUCUGGGCAGCCACAAAGAAAAGUCAUUCAAGACAGGAAACAAGCGUGCACAGAGGACGGGGGCACCAAAGAAUGUGCUAUGUCCGGAGACUAGAAAGGAGCUCUGUGAGGCUGAAGGAUCGUGUUUUCAGGCAGAGUUUCAGAGAUGACACGUGGGAAGCAGUGUGCAUGCAGAGGUUCUGAGUCGCCUCAUUUCUGUGCCUUUAGCACAGAGCCUGGCAAAUACUCAGUUCCCAGCAAAUGAGCAUGGAAUGAAUGGAGUGUAGCCCCUCACACACCAAGGCUCCUAGCCUUACCAAGAAUGUAAUACAUUCACACUACAUAUCUAACUAGUGAGUAGUGAUUUAUUAAUAGUCAGAAAAUACCAAGCCUGCAGCCUCAGGAAGGGGAAUCGUAUUCUUCCAGAUGAAACCUCUACAGUUACAAAGACUAAAGGCAAAGUUUGACCCAAUGUCAGAGGUCUCAAAGCUACACUGUAGUUUUUACGUACAACUCUUAAAGCUAGUCAGUCCUACAUCUGUCUCUGGUUUGUAAUUAAUGUCUCUUUUGACGAGCUAACCCCAUGGUAUAAAAUGAACCAAGUUUUAGGUCUAUUUGUUUCUUUUUAUGGACUCUGGAUGUCUAGACCAUUUUUCUUUCAAAGGGCACAUGGACUUCAAAGUUACCACUGCAAAUGGAUCCUGAUUACUUGCUUCAAAUGGUUAAUUUAGUAAAAAAAAUACUCAUUUUGGUGGUUUCCUGAUUAUUAAGUACAUUUUCUUAGAGACUGGCAUUCAGGACAGAUUUUGUCUUGUAGGCCCCGAGUAUCAUUUGCAUUUGAAAAGAAAACAGCAUGUAUCCUAAACCAAGGUCAGUUAAUCUCUGCAAUCUUUCUUCCUCCCAAUCAUUGUGAAUGAGCAUCUUCUCAGGACUCGAGAGAUGAUAACUCUUGUUUCUGCCUACUAAGGACACGACUCAGCUUCGCAGAUUUUUUUUUUUUUUUGGCUGUACAAUGGAACUUGGAUGCAUUUCAAAUUAGCUUUCUCUAGGAAUCAAAGAGUAACCUCUGAGGACCCCGCUUGCUCUAAGAGGACUGAGGAAAUGUCUCCCAAAUCUGUCCUUGCUGCACUGACCCCAAUACUCAGAAGAACCUGACAUGAUCCAGCAAUUCCACUUUUUGAAAGAAUUUGGAGAUUCCAAUCUGAUCCUCUCCCCUGUGAUCUCUGUACCCAGUCUCUGUCUGUACCACACACAAUAAAGCUUGAGAGUGUCAAG